UGGGGAAUUUUGGACAAUGGGGGAAACCCUGAUCCAUCCAUCCCGCGUGUGCGAUGAAGGCCUUCGGGUUGUAAAGCACUUUUGGCAGGAAAGAAACGUCGUGGGUUAAUACCCCGCGAAACUGACGGUACCUGCAGAAUAAGCACCGGCUAACUACGUGCCAGCAGCCGCGGUAAUACGUAGGGUGCAAGCGUUAAUCGGAAUUACUGGGCGUAAAGCGUGCGCAGGCGGUUCGGAAAGAAAGAUGUGAAAUCCCAGAGCUUAACUUUGGAACUGCAUUUUUAACUACCGGGCUAGAGUGUGUCAGAGGGAGGUGGAAUUCCGCGUGUAGCAGUGAAAUGCGUAGAUAUGCGGAGGAACACCGAUGGCGAAGGCAGCCUCCUGGGAUAACACUGACGCUCAUGCACGAAAGCGUGGGGAGCAAACAGGAUUAGAUACCCUGGUAGUCCACGCCCUAAACGAUGUCAACUAGCUGUUGGGGUCUUCGGACCUUGGUAGCGCAGCUAACGCGUGAAGUUGACCGCCUGGGGAGUACGGUCGCAAGAUUAAAACUCAAAGGAAUU
rnacentral:rRNA from 1 species